CCAGGCAGCCGGGGCAAGCCUUACCGCUCUGAGGGCGGAAGGAAGGCUUUAGUAUCCGACAGGCCUGUUUAUGAGGUUGGGAAGUUCGGCAGUUUCUAGGUUCAAGGACGGGCACCUCUGCUCAGAAUCGGCCCCUGCCAUUCCUUCCCCUGGAGGCCCAGCGGCGCAGACAGGCGCAGAACAAGCCUUCCUGACCGACGGAGGAUACCACGUAAGCACACUGCUAAACGAGCAAAAAACGUGCUCUGUCCAUGUUUGAAGAGCCGCAUUACUUGGCCUGUGUUGUACUCGCUGCACACAAUGGGAAUGAAACACGCACAGAAUGAGGAUGGUGAAAGCUGGUACAGAAAGAACGGCUCAUGUUUUAGCCUGUUCCAGAAAAUCUGCUAUUAUGAUCCUAUGAACAUUGUGCUUCUUACACAUGCAGGUUUCACACAUUCAUUUUCCAAAUGUCUGAAUAGACAUCCUAAAGCCUGAUUUACAGAUACACCUGGCAGUCAUAGACACAACGUGAAAGCAUCAGAAACCCUCAUUUGAACAGCCGCGUUCUUAUCCACUAAAUAUUCUGAAAAAAUGCAAUACAAAAAGUUUCUCAAUAUUGUACCCUAAAUCAACAUAUAAUUUGACUUUACACUUAUCUCUGUCUGUCUUAAUGCUCUGUAAAAUAGGAAAAAACCCUACAACAAGUCAUGUUAUUGGCUGAAUGAAAACUAAUUAAUCGUUUGUGAAGUCUUAUGACACUCCAGUAUUGAAAAGAACAGGUCACAUGGACAUAAUUCUGUCUUUAAAACAGAAGUAAUACGCAAUUAAUCAUG